rnacentral:lncRNA from 1 species
UGUGGACAGGCAUCUGGCAGGAAAGCGCAGUGAUGUAGAAAUGGAUGCUUGGGUGGCUCAGGAACCCCACUGACAAGCAUAAUGAGGGAGGGUGGGGCCCCAUAAUGCUGUGCUGAAGAGAAGGCAGCAGAUCCAGAUCGGGGAUUUUAAAAGCAGACAGGAAAACGGUAUCACCAGCUAAUUUCCUCCCACUGCCUUGAAACUUACCAAGCAGGCUAUGCUGAUUGUCUUGCAAGCUCCACCUCCCCAGCACUGACAUAAUGACCAGCACUGGAAUUACCAAUGCUGGGGACAGAACCCAGGGCCCUAUACGUGCUAAAGG